AUACGUAGGGUGCAAGCGUUAAUCGGAAUUACUGGGCGUAAAGCGUGCGCAGGCGGUUCGGAAAGAAGGAUGUGAAAUCCCAGGGUCAACCUUGGAACUGCAUUCUUAACUACCGAACUAGAGUAUGUCAGAGGGGGGUAGAAUUCCGCGUGUAGCAGUGAAAUGCGUAGAUAUGCGGAGGAAUACCGAUGGCGAAGGCAGCCCCCUGGGAUAAUACUGACGCUCAUGCACGAAAGCGUGGGUAGCAAACAGGAUUAGAUACCCUGGUAGUCCACGCCCAAAACGAUGUCAACUAGCUGUUGGGCCCUUCGGGGCUUAGUAGCGUAGCUAACGCGUGAAGUUGACCGCCUGGGGAGUACGGUCGCAAGAUUAAAACUCAAAUGAAUUGACGGGG
rnacentral:rRNA from 1 species